rnacentral:piRNA from 1 species
UUUUCUGAUAAGUGAUAGAAAUUAUUGUGGGA